AGUGAACGCUGGCGGUAGGCCUAACACAUGCAAGUCGAACGGCAGCACCGUAAGAGCUUGCUCUUACGGGUGGCGAGUGGCGGACGGGUGAGGAAUACAUCGGAAUCUACUUUUUCGUGGGGGAUAACGUAGGGAAACUUACGCUAAUACCGCAUACGACCUACGGGUGAAAGCAGGGGAUCUUCGGACCUUGCGCGAUUGAAUGAGCCGAUGUCGGAUUAGCUAGUUGGCGGGGUAAAGGCCCACCAAGGCGACGAUCCGUAGCUGGUCUGGGAGGAUGAUCAGCCACACUGGAACUGAGACACGGUCCAGACUCCUACGGGAGGCAGCAGUGGGGAAUAUUGGACAAUGGGCGCAAGCCUGAUCCAGCCAUACCGCGUGGGUGAAGAAGGCCUUCGGGUUGUAAAGCCCUUUUGUUGGGAAAGAAAAGCAGCAGGUUAAUACCCCGCUGUUCUGACGGUACCCAAAGAAUAAGCACCGGCUAACUUCGUG
rnacentral:rRNA from 1 species